rnacentral:misc_RNA from 1 species
AUUGAUACAUAGUAGUAACAUUUUCCUUUUGGAUUUUUUCUUUCAACUAUGGUUUGUUAGUGUUCUUGUUGUUAUGUUUGUUGAUAAUCCCUUCUUCAGUCUGAGUUGAAGGCUUGUAAUAUCCAGUGACAGGGUCUGGUACCCAUGAUGACUCUGAAGAAAUAGAACUUACACUCUGAUCUUUCACUAAUUUUUGUUGAUGAUCCCUUUUAGUCGACCCUUCUUCUGCUUGUGUUGCACAAUACCCUCUCCUUGUAACAAGAUUCAAGGGAAGGCUACCAUCAACAAGGCAAUAAGAAGACUUGAAUUUGGAGAUGAUUCUUGUCAUAUUGCAAGCCAUUUUGAG